UGCUUAAAACAUGCAAGUCGAACGGGGUCCAACCUUCGGGUGAAGACCUAGUGGCGAACGGGUGAGUAACACGUGAGCAACCUACCCCAGAGACCGGGAUAAGCCAGGGAAACUUGGUCUAAUACCGGAUACUCUCCACCGGCUACUAACUGGUGGAGCAAAUGGUUUUUCGCUUUGGGAUGGGCUCGCGGACUAUCAGCUUGUUGGUGGGGUAACGGCCUACCAAGGCUUCGACGGUUAGCUGGUCUGAGAGGAUGGUCAGCCACACUGGGACUGAGACACGGCCCAGACUCCUACGGGAGGCAGCAGUUAGGAAUCUUGCGCAAUGGGCGAAAGCCUGACGCAGCAACGCCGCGCGUGGGAUGAAGGCUUUCGGGUUGUAAACCAC
rnacentral:rRNA from 1 species